UACGUAGGGCGCAAGCGUUAUCCGGAAUUAUUGGGCGUAAAGAGCUCGUAGGCGGUUUGUCGCGUCUGCCGUGAAAGUCCGGGGCUCAACUCCGGAUCUGCGGUGGGUACGGGCAGACUAGAGUGAUGUAGGGGGAGACUGGAAUUCCUGGUGUAGCGGUGAAAUGCGCAGAUAUCAGGAGGAACACCGAUGGCGGAGGCAGGUCUCGUGGGCAUUAACUGACGCUGAGGAGCGAAAGCAUGGGGAGCGAACAGG
rnacentral:rRNA from 1 species